ensembl:lncRNA SDHAP1 SDHA pseudogene 1
AGAGGCUGUGGCCCUGAGAAAGAUCACGUCUACCUGCAGCUGCACCACCUACCUCCAGAGCAGCUGGCCAUGCCCUUGCCCGGCAUUUCAGAGACAGCCAUGAUCUUCGCUGGUGUGGACGUCACGAAGGAGCCGAUCCCUGUCCUCCCCACCGUGCAUUAUAACAUGGACGGCAUUCCCACCAGCUACGAGGGGCAGGUCCUGAGGCACGGGAAUGGCCAGGAUCAGAUUGUGCCCGGCCUGUACGCCUGUGGGGAGGCCGCCUGUGCCUCUGCACAUGGUGUCAACCGCCUCGGGGCAAACUCGCUAUUGGACCUGGUUGUCUGGUCAGGCAUGUGCCCUGAGCAUCGCAGAGUCGUGCAGGCCUGGAGAUAAAGUCCCUCCAAUUAAACCAAAUGCUGGGGAAGAAUCUGUCACGAAUGUUGACAAAUUGAGAUUUGCUGAUGGAAGAAGCAUAAGAACAUCGGAACUGCGACUCAGCAUGCAGAAGGUAAGAGCCUGGACUCGCUCUGGAGUGAGCAGGCUGGCUGCAUACCUGGCCCUGCACUGGUUUUGUUUUU